rnacentral:rRNA from 1 species
GACGAACGCUGGCGGCGUGCCUAAUACAUGCAAGUUGAGCGAUGAAGCUUGGUGCUUGCACCAAUUUGAAGAGCAGCGAACGGGUGAGUAACGCGUGGGGAAUCUGCCUUUGAGCGGGGGACAACAUUUGGAAACGAAUGCUAAUACCGCAUAACAACUUUAAACAUAAGUUUUAAGUUUGAAAGAUGCAAUUGCAUCACUCAAAGAUGAUCCCGCGUUGUAUUAGCUAGUUGGUGAGGUAAAGGCUCACCAAGGCGAUGAUACAUAGCCGACCUGAGAGGGGUGUCGGCCACAUUGGGACUGAGACACCGCCCAAACUCCUACGGGGAGCAGCAGUAGGGAAACUUCGGCAAUGGGCGAAAGUCUGACCGAGCAACGCCGCGUGAGGGAAGAAGGGUUUCGGAUCGUAAAACUCUGUUGGUAGAGAAGAACGUUGGUGAGAGUGGAAAGCUCAUCAAGUGACGGUAACUACACAGAAAGGGACGGCUAACUACGUG